rnacentral:rRNA from 1 species
GACGAACGCUGGCGGCGUGCUUAACACAUGCAAGUCGAACGGAAAGGCCCUGCUUUUGUGGGGUGCUCGAGUGGCGAACGGGUGAGUAGCACGUGAGUAACCUGCCCUUGACUUUGGGAUAACUUCAGGAAACUGGGGCUAAUACCGGAUAGGAGCUCCUGCUGCAUGGUGGGGGUUGGAAAGUUUCGGCGGUUGGGGAUGGACUCGCGGCUUAUCAGCUUGUUGGUGGGGUAGUGGCUUACCAAGGCUUUGACGGGUAGCCGGCUUGAGAGGGUGACCGGCCACAUUGGGACUGAGAUACGGCCCAGACUCCUACGGGAGGCAGCAGUGGGGAAUAUUGCACAAUGGGCGGAAGCCUGAUGCAGCAACGCCGCGUGCGGGAUGACGGCCUUCGGGUUGUAAACCGCUUUCGCCUGUGACGAAGCGUGAGUGACGGUAAUGGGUAAAGAAGCACCGGCUAACUACGUG